GAUGAAGAACGCAGCGAAACGCGAUAAGUAAUGUGAAUUGCAGAAUUCAGUGAAUCAUCGAAUCUUUGAACGCACAUUGCGCCCAUUAGUAUUCUAGUGGGCAUGCCUGUUCGAGCGUCAUUAAGUCCACUUAAGCCCUGCUUAGUGUUGGGAGACUGCUCCAGCGGUGCUACCCUGUAGCUACCCUGCAGCUCCUCAAAGACAGCGGCGGAGUUGUGGUAUCCUCUGAGCUUAGUAACUUGUUCUAGCUUUCGAGUACACCACUUCCCCUGCCGUAAAACCCUUAAUUUUUAAUGGUUGACCUCGGAUCAGGUAGGAAUACCCGCUGAACUUAAGCAUAUCAAUAAGCGGAGGA
rnacentral:misc_RNA from 1 species